rnacentral:rRNA from 1 species
CAAUAAGCGGAGGAAAAGAAACCAACAGGGAUUGCCCCAGUAACGGCGAGUGAAGCGGCAACAGCUCAAAUUUGAAAUCUGGCCCCCCCCCGCGGGGGCCCGAGUUGUACUUUGGAGAGGAUGCUUUGGGCGCGGCGCCGGCCGAGUUCCCUGGAACGGGACGCCAGAGAGGGUGAGAGCCCCGUACGGCCGGACGCCCAGCCCGUGCAAAGCUCCUUCGACGAGUCGAGUAGUUUGGGAAUGCUGCUCAAAACGGGAGGUAAAUUUCUUCUAAAGCUAAAUACCGGCCAGAGACCGAUAGCGCACAAGUAGAGUGAUCGAAAGAUGAAAAGCACUUUGAAAAGAGGGUUAAACAGCACGUGAAAUUGUUGAAAGGGAAGCGCCUGGGGCCAGACGUGCGCCCCGCGGACCACCCGGCGCCUUCGCGCGCCGGGGCACGCCGCGGGUGCGCAGGCCAGCAUCGGCUCCCCGCCAGGGGGACAAGGGCCGCGGGAACGUAGCUCCUCCGGGAGCGUUAUAGCCCGCGGCGCCAUGCCCCUGGGGGGGCCGAGG